UACGGAGGAUCCAAGCGUUAUCCGGAUUUAUUGGGUUUAAAGGGUGCGUAGGUGGUCUAUUAAGUCAGGGGUGAAAGACGGCAGCUUAACUGUCGCAGUGCCUUUGAUACUGAUGGACUUGAAUAAACUAGAGGUAGGCGGAAUGUGACAAGUAGCGGUGAAAUGCUUAGAUAUCGUCAAGAACACCUAUAGCGAAGGCAGCUUACUAGGCUGUAACUGACGCUGAGGCACGAAAGUGUGGGGAUCAAACAGG
rnacentral:rRNA from 1 species